GAUGAACGCUGGCGGCGUGCUUAACACAUGCAAGUCGAACGGAAAGGCUCCUGCUUGCAGGGGUACUCGAGUGGCGAACGGGUGAGUAACACGUGGGUGAUCUGCCCUGCACUUCGGGAUAAGCCUGGGAAACUGGGUCUAAUACCGGAUAGGACGAUGGUUUGGAUGCCAUUGUGGAAAGUUUUUCGGUGUGGGAUGAGCUCGCGGCCUAUCAGCUUGUUGGUGGGGUAAUGGCCUACCAAGGCGUCGACGGGUAGCCGGCCUGAGAGGGUGUACGGCCACAUUGGGACUGAGAUACGGCCCAGACUCCUACGGGAGGCAGCAGUGGGGAAUAUUGCACAAUGGGCGCAAGCCUGAUGCAGCGACGCCGCGUGGGGGAUGACGGCCUUCGGGUUGUAAACUCCUUUCGCGAGGGACGAAGCGCAAGUGACGGUACCUGGAGAAGAAGCACCGGCUAACUACGUG
rnacentral:rRNA from 1 species